GCAGAUACCCAACUUUUUUUUUUUUUUCCCUCCCUCACAGUAAAGUUGAGGGUAGUUGUUUGUCAGUUCCGUCUUGGCAGGAGGUGGCUCAGGAAAAAGGAAUCUAGAAAUUGUUUUUCCUAUAAAGAUAAAGUAAAAGCUAAUUUACUGUCCUACUAAAUCUCAUGCCUCACUUCAACAGAUCAAGGUGGAAUCAGUGAUCAGAGGAAUCAAAUACUAAAGAGAUGUCAAUAAAAUUAGUUUAGACCACUGACAGAUUUUCUUUCCUUUCAUAAAUUGUGAAAUAAAACCCAAGAUAAAUUUUAUUAUCUUGUAAAGAAGGCUUGUGAUUUAAAAGAAAACCUAUGAAAUGGACAAAGCAUAGAGCAAUGUAACAAAAGUAUUUCUUGUAGAAAACCAAAAAAAUGAACAUUUUUAAAAUUGCUCAAAGUGUUAGAGAUAUCCCUAUAAAACUCUGCUUUAUAGAAACUCAUUUUUUUAAAAAUUGGCUUAAUUUUUUUAGAACAGUGCAGUUCAAGGUUACCAUGCAUAUAUUAAAUAAUUACUUUAUUAAUUAAAUUUCAUGGCUUAUUAAGAUUUCCUUAGUUUUUAUCUAAUGUCCUUCAUUUGUACCAAGAUUUCAUCCAGGAUUCUACACUGCAUUUGUUUGUCAUGUCUACUUAGGCUCCUUAUGGCCAUGGUAAUUUCUCGUUUUUCAGUGACUUUGUCAAUUUGGAGGAGUACUAAUUGUGAGGGCAGUAGGGAGGAAGGAGGCAGAGGCUGGAGCAGUGAGUUUGCAAGCAGGGUUUAUUGGCCAACAGAGUGGCCAGGAGCACUGAGCAAGUAAAACUCAGGGCCACUGCUGUUGGGAGAGAAUCAGGUUUUAUAGGCAGGGGGUCAUGUUCUGAGUUCUACAGUUCCAGGAUGGCAGUUGAGAUCAUGGUAUAAAAUUUAAUUUUCUCCUUGGAGCUGUCUUUGUCAGCCACUUCCUGGGCUUGGAUGUUUCACCUGUGGAGGUCUGAUAAAGUGGAGACUGCAGGUCCGGGUCUGGGUGAGUCAAUGAGCCAUGCGGACUUAUUCAUUCUUAGGCCUGUCUUUUAGUUUCUACCUAAGACUAAACAGAUAUUUUAAAGUAGGUUAUAUGGAAUACAUCUCAUGAUUUUCUCAUGAUAAUAUUGGGAUUCAUAGAUACAAACUAUUGCCUUUGGAAUGGAUUAGCAAUGAGAUUCUGCUGUGUAGCCUUGGGAACUACGUCUAGUUACUUGCGAUGGAGCAUGAUAAUGUACGAAAAUAGAAUGUGUACAUGUAUGGGUAGCUGGGUCACCAUGCUGUACAGUAGAAAAAAAUUGUAUUGGGGAAAAUAACUAUUAAAAAUAAUAAUAAUAUUGGGAUUCUAAGUUAUUGGGAGGAAGAUGACAGAGAAAAAGUGCCAUUUUCGGCAUACUUUCUCCAAACACAUACAUCAAUAGAGUUUAUGAUUGUUGAUGCUGACUUUCAUCAUCUGGCUAGUGUUGUAUUCAUUAGAUUUCUCCUCAGUGAAUGUAUUCUUUUUUCUCUCUUUUCUAUUCUCUGUCUUUGGAGAGAGAUAGCACUUUUCUUUAUCCCCAAAGCACCUUUAUUGUUGUUUAUCAGGGGAGGUGCAGGCUGUUUUUUUUUUUUUCUUAUUAUACUGAGCUGUGGUUGGACAGAAGGGCAGCUUUGAUUAUUUCCAUACUCUAAGUACCUUUCACAGAGUUUGUUGUAUAGGAAAUUUUCAAGUAAAUAUGUGUUGAAUCAAAAGAUGUUUUGUAAUAAAUCAAAAAUUUUUAACUCAAAACUAGUUUUAAUAAGCCAAUAUGCAUAAAGGGCAGUAUAUUUUGCCCUAAAAUUAGAAUAUAGCCUUAAAAUAUGUGGCUUUCAUUCCCACAUUUCUUCAAAAAUUAUGGAACAUUGAUAGAAAAGAGAUUUCUAUUAUUUUUAAGUACAGAAUAAAAAAAAUACAAACUCAAGAUUGUACAGCCUAAAAAGUUGGGAGUUCCCAUUGUGGCUCAGCAGAAAUGAAUCUGACAAGAAUCAAUGAAGAUGCAGGUUUGAUCCCUAGCCUCACUCAGUGGGUUGGGGAUCCUGUGUUGCUGUGGCAUAGGCUGGCGGCUGCAGCUCCAGUUCGACCCCUAGCCUGGUAAUUUCUAUAUGCUACGGGUGCAGCCCUAAAAAUGCAAAAAUAAAAAAAAA
rnacentral:lncRNA from 1 species